AGAGUUUGAUCCUGGCUCAGGACGAACGCUAGCGGCGUGCCUAAGGUAUGCAAGUCGAGCGGGAGCCUUCGGGCUCCAGCGGCAAACGGUUGAGUAACACGUAGACAACCUGCCCGUAAGACGGGGAUAACUCGGGGAAACUCGGGCUAAUACCGGAUGUGGAAGGAAGGGGCAUCCCUGCUUUUCUAAACGAGGGCGAAAGCCUUCGGCUUACGGAUGGGUCUGCGGCCUAUCAGCUAGCUGGUGGGGUAACGGCCUACCAGGGCGACGACGGGUAGCUGGUCUGAGAGGAUGACCAGCCAGACGGGGACUGAGACACGGCCCCGACUCCUUCGGGAGGCAGCAAUGAGGAAUAUUGCGCAAUGGGGGAAACCCUGACGCAGCGACGCCGCGUGGGUGAUGAAGUCCUUCGGGAUGUAAAGCCCUUUUGCUGGGGAAGACGGCGCAAGCCAGACGGUACCCAGCGAAUAAGCCCCGGCUAACUACGUGCCAGCAGCCGC
rnacentral:rRNA from 1 species